UUAAUACAGUCACAAUGUUGUGCAACUAUCACCAUCUCAUUCCAAAACAUUUUCACCACCCCAAAGGAGACCCCAUGCCCUCCUCUUUAUCCUAGCCCUCCAGCAACCACUAAUCUGCUUUCUGUCUCUGUCACUGGGUUUACCUCUUCUGGGUAUUUCGUAGCAAGGGCAUCCUACAGUAUGGGACCUUUUGUGUCUGGCUUCUUUCACUUAGUGUCGUACUUUCAAGGUUAAUCUAAGUUGUAGCACAUACAGCACUUCGUACCUUUUAAUGGCUGACAAUACUUCCUUGCAUGGAUACCACACUGUGCUUAUCCAUUAAUCUCUUGAACAUUGUUUUUUUCCCCACUUUUUGGCUAUUGCAGAUAGUACUGCUAUGAACAUUUGUGUAAUUCUGUUUAAAUACCUGUUUUCAGCUCUUUUGGGUAUAUACCUAGGAAUGGAAUUGCUGUCUGUAUGUGUAUUUGGGGGGAUUUCUUUGUUUUGUUUUUUUAAGCCAUAACAUGAUUCCCCCUUUCCCUCCACUAGUAGGAUAAGGAAAAUUAGGAAUAUUUGGUAUUUGAAAAGGGCCUAGAUGAAUCCGGAGUCCUUAAUUUUGGUUUCUCUUACACUUUCUCUAAGACUAACAUCAGUGAAAUGUUUUAUCAUUAAUCACAUUAGUGUAUUCAUUUUGUAAGUAAUGACUAGUACUCAACUUAAAAUUAAUCUUCCUUUAAAAGUUGCAAAGUUAAAAAAAAGUCGCCAAGUUUGCAGUGCCUCGCAAGACACUGUCCUUCCUGGCCACGCGACGUUUGGUAGGUCACUGAAUCCUGUCCUUCCUGGCCACGCGACGUUUGGUAGGUCACUGAAUCUUGCCGAGCCUCAUUUUCCUCUUCUGUUCCAUGGGGAUGAGUGGGUAGGACCUACGUACCACAUAGGAUUACUGUGGAUUCCCCUCUUCCUUCAUGCAGAAAAAAGUUUUGCAUUGGAGCUAAUCUACUGUUUAACAGUUCUUUCAAGGGCCAUAUGAUACGUUUUGUUCCACAAAUUUGGUAUAAUUCAGAAAAAUAAAAUGAAUAAUUUGAAAAUUCUGUAUAAUUAUAGUUAUUAAAUGAUUUGCAAACCAUG